GCGCCGGGUUCCGGGGUGGCCCCUGCUGCGGGCCCCGCGCCCUCCGGAGCCCGGCCGGCACCCCCUUCCUGCCUCCCGCGGGCCGCCCCGCCAGACUCCUCCUCCCUCGGAGGCCGGCGCCGGGCGAGAGGAGCCCGCGGGCUCAGGCGCCCUGAGGCCGCCGGCUGCCAAGAGCGCCCGGGAGGUAGAAUGUCUCUGCCAAGGGCAUCCCUUCCCAAAGCUGGGGCUCCGGAGCAGAGACAAGCACCCCUGUCCCCUCGCCGUUCCACCUGAGACCCCCCCUCCCCCACGAAGGGGUAAGAACGAUGAGACAGCGAGCCAGGGACCAGUGGGAAGACGUGGCAGGGUUUGAGGAGGGCAAUCAGUUGAGAGCUGUGGUGGUGAGGGGAUCAAAAGUUGUGGCAAACAGUUCUCUAAGUGUAGGAGAGGAGACUGGAGCAUUGCUGCCGGCUACGCAGGUGAGCCCGGCUGCACAUACCGAAGAGGCGUCGUAAUCCUUAAAAUCACCUGUCCACCUGCCUUCCAGAUACAAGAACACAAAAUGAUUCAAAAUUGAUGAUCCAAGAACAGCUCACAGUGAAUCCUGAAGCUACAAAUGGCCUUACAGUCCACACACCUACAAUGCUUUGGAGAAGACAGGUGGAACAGGAAAUAAGACCACCUUCCAUAGCUGGCUUGUAUGUCAGUGAAGAAGAUUGCCUCUGAGCAAGAGUGAGUCUUGCAACUUCCUGGGUGCUAGAGGACAGUAACAGAUUACAUCAAACUUCAGAACUUCUCAAAUAUCUAGUUAUUAUACACAUUCCCAUCUGUCUUGCAGGGAAGAAUCUUGGCUGGCUUAACAGUUGCAGGUUAAUGCCAUUUGACAUCCACUCACUGGAAAAACAAUAUCCUCUAAAAAAUUGAUAAAUUAUUUAAAACCUCAUUAAAGAUUUAAUAGGAUGCUGAGUGCUUAAAUACACUGUUUCACAAAUACUCUACACAGUCUAUAGAAUUCUUCAGUUUGAUAAAAUGAGAAAAAUAAAUUAUUUGACAGCAAGAUACAGAGAGGGAGUUCUUAUCUGCUGGUUCACAUCCUAAAUGUAUACAACAGCUGGGGCUGAGUUGGGCCAAAGUAGAGAACCAGAAACUCAAUCCAGGUCUCCUAUAUUGGUGGCAGGAAUCCAACUACUUCAGCCAUCAACUACUGCUUCCAAGGGUGUGCAUCAGCAGUAAGGUGAAAUUGGGAGCAGAAUUGGAACUCAAACCCAGGCUCUAGGACAUGGAAUGCAGACAUCCCAAAUAGCAUCCUAACUGCUAGAACAAAUAUCCACCCUUGGAAUUUCUGUAGAAGUAAAAAUUGCAUUUUUUUCUUGCUUAUGCUAACUAAAUAUUUCAUGCUAAUACUAUAACAUAUAUAUCACAUACCUGAUGUUAAAGAGUUUAAGCUGUUUUAUUAUUCACUGUUUGUAGCCACCUAGAAACUAAUAAUAAGGCAGGGGUAGGCCUACUUUUUAUUGUAAAGGGCUAGAGAGUAAAUAUUCUAAGAUUUGCAGCCAUGUACAUUUCUAGUUUUGUUUGUUUUUUAAGCAAUUUUUUUUUUUUUUUUGACAGGCAGAGUUAGAGAGAGACAAAGAAAAAGGUCUUCCUUUUUCUGUUGGUUCAUCCCCCAAAUGGCCACCACGGCCGAUCCCAAGCCAGGAGCCAGGCGCUUCUUCCUGGUCUCCCAUGCUGGUGCAGGGCCCAAGGACCUGGCCCAUCCUCCUGUGCUUUCCCGGGCCACAGCAGAGAGCUGGACUGGAAGAGAAGCAACCAGGACAGAAUCCGGCGCCCCGGAUGGGACUAGAACCCAGGGUGCCAGCACCACAGGCAGAGGAUUAGCCAAGUGAGCUGUGGUGCCGGCCUUUAAGCAACCUCUGAAAAUGUAAACCACUUAUCAAGCCAUAUAAAAAUAGGGCUAUCAAUGGCCAAUCCUUGAGGCAUGGCAACAUCAUAAAACAUUUUCAAAUAACUGAUGACAAAAAUUCAAGUUUUAAAAUUUUUAAGACAGAUCUAUUACUACCAUUAUUUAUUAAUAUUUACUUCUAGGUCAUAGCUCAGUUAACAGAUAGCUAGCUGCUUCAUAUAAAUCUUUAAAAGUUCAAAGUAUGUUUCCCCAGAUCUUAAAUCUAUUUUAACAUGUUAUGUGUACACACUGCACAUACACACAAUCACUUGCCCUCCACAUGUACCUUACUUUCAAAAUAACUGAUCAAAAAUGUAUAUUCUGAAACCCAUGUCAUUGCCUGGACUUGGACUACAGUUUCAAUGUACAAAAAUAAUGCUGUCUCAUGUAAAAGACUCACUUCUUUAAAUAUACAACCAAACUUUAAUUAGGAGAGAAUGAGGCUGUGCUGUGGCUCAAUAGGCUAAUCCUCCGCCUGUGGCGCCGGCAUACCGGGUGCUAGCCCUGGUUGGGGUGCCGGAUUCUUUCCUGGUUGCCCCUCUUCCAGGCCAGUUCUGGCAGUGGAUGAUGGCCAAGUGCUUGGGCCCUGCACCCACAUGGGAGACCAGGAGAAGCACCUGGCUCCUGCCUUCGGAUCAGCACAGUGCGCCAGCCGCAGCGCGCCAGCCACAGCGGGCAUUGGAGGGUGAACCAACGGCAAAGGAAGACCUUUCUCUCUGUCUCUCUCACUGUCCACUCUGCCUGUUAAAAAAAAAAAAAAAGGAGAGAAUGAAUACUGGUAUAGGGAGAUGACCAACAAAUAUUAAAAACCUAAUGUGAGGGGCUGGUGCUGUUGGUAGUAGACUAAGCCUCCAUCUGCGGUGCUGGUAUACCAUAUGGGCACUGGUUCAUGUUCCAAACUCCUAUCUUCUAAUAUAAUGCUAUGCAUUUCCUAAAUGUUCCACCAGAGGGACCUCUUAACUAUUCACAAAUCAAAGUAAGCUUUCUUACCAAAAAGACUACAAAGAGCUCAACAGAAGCACUGGGGAGUUAGAAAACCAAUGUUUAAGUUAUUUAAAUGAAUUACGUUUAUUUAAACUUCCUCUGAAGGAGGAAAUGGGACAAAUAUUCAUAAAACCAGAAUAAAAUAUUUUAAAUCAGAAUCAAGAAAACAAAACAUCUCACUGAGGUUCAUUCACUCAUUUAAUGCCACCAAACAUUUACUUAAACUUAUUGUACUUUAAAUGUACUAGAAAUUAGGGCUAAAUUACAAUAUACCUGUAGAAAUUAAAUGCCUUCUUGGGAUCAUUUAUUUAUAAUUCCAAAAAUGUAGCUGUCUUGGUGGAAUCACAGUAAAAAUACAUGGAAUAUACAUUAGAUCAAUCUCUAUCAACAGAACACCUACAAUAUGCAUAAUAUUAUCAAUGUUUGAUAUCACAAUUUUUUACAAAUACCUUAACAUUUUAUUUCAAAAUUGUCUUCAUGUAUAGACAUCAUUAAAAAAUACACAUAGACUACAGAUUUUCCAUGGAAUAGAAGCUGGAAAUAAAAUUUAAGGGCAAUUAGGAGAAUUGUUAUCACUUUUGUACUGAGGUUUUUCCAUGUCUAUCCUAGCUAGAACACUGAUAAAAUGAAAUAGCCAGUUUUGGCUUAAGCAACUAUGAUAAAAUUUGUCACUCCAAAUUAGGAAGUAAUCUGGCAGCUUGUAAAAAAAAAAAAAAGUUUGGGCCCAGCACUACAGCAUAGCAGGUUAAGCUGCUCUCUGCAGUGCAGGCAUGCCGUAUAGGCUAUGGUUUGAGUCCCAAGUGCUCCAAUUCCAAUCCAGCUCUCUGCUAUAGCCUGGGAAAGCAGUAGAAGAUUGCCCAAGUUCUUCCGCACCUGCACCCACGUGGCAGACACAGAAGAAGCUCCUGGCUCCUGGCUUCGGAUUGGCAUGACUCUGACCGUUGUGGCCAAUUGGGGAGUGAAUCAGCGGAUGGAAGACCUUUCUCUCUCUCUCUGCCUCUCCUCUCUCUGUGUAACUUUGACUUUCAAAUAAAUAAAUCUUUAUUUAAAAAAAAGUAGAUUCCAGAGCAAAAAAUAUUUACCAGGAGUGAAGAUUUUCAUAAUAAAGGGAUCAAAAUAUCAAGAGAAUUUAACAACUAUAAAUGUACCUAAAAGCAGGACUUCAAAUUACAUGACACAAAAGCUGACAGAACUGCAAGAAGAAAUAGACAAAUCUGCAAUUGUAAUUAUAAAUUAUAGACUUCAAUACCCCUGCACCCGCGUGGGAGACCCAGAGAAAGUUCCUGGCUCCUGGCUUUGGAUUGAUGCAACUCUGACUGUUGUGGCCACUUGUGGAGUGAAACCAGUGGAUGGAAGACUGCUCUCUCUGCCUCUCCUUCUCUCUAUGUGUAACUCUUUCAAAUAAAUAAAUGAAUCUUAAAACAAAAACAGUAUUUAGAGGCCUGUAUUGUGAGGUAGCAGGUAAAGCUACUGUCUGUCAUACUGGCAUCACAUAUAGGUGCUGGUUUAAGUCCCAGCUGUUCUACUUCCUAUCCAGUUCCCUCUUUAUGUGCCUGAGAUACAGCAGAAGAUGGCUCUAGUGGCUGGGCCCCUGCUACCCACAUAGAAGACCCAGAAAGAAGCACCUGGCUCAAGGCUUGGGACCAGCCCAACUCAGGCCAUUGUGGCCAUUUGGGGGGUGAACCAGCAAAUGGAAGAUCUCCUCCUCUCUCUCUCAA